GGUCUGGGAGUGUUUAUAGCCCUGUGAGUUUAACACUUCAUGACUGAGAGCUGUCCUUCAUGACAACAGAACCCACAACAACCAUGACUUUUAUCACCAUCUUUAUCUGGAUAUUUGCCCUCUGUCUCCAAGAAUCCAGAGGCCAGGUCACUGUAACUCAGACUCCUGCAGUGAAAGCUGUUCUCCCAGGACAAACAGUCUCUCUGAACUGUAAAACCAGCAGUGAUGUCUAUAACAAUAACGACCUAGCCUGGUAUCAACAGAAACCUGGAGGAGCUCCUAAACUCCUUAUAUACUAUGCUACAACACUUCAGUCUGGGACUCCAUCUAGAUUCAGUGGCAGUGGAUCUGGGAGUGACUUCACUCUGACCAUCAGUGGAGUCCAGGCUGAAGAUGCAGGAGAUUACUACUGUCAGAGUGAACACUACAUCAACAGUGUCUGGGUGUUCACACAGUGAUACAGAGUCGUACAAAAACCUCCCUCAGUCAGACUGCACAGUGACUGUACUGCUACAGCUGGGACCUACUGCAGGUGCUGAGGGGGAAGAGACAGUGACAUGGAACACUAGAUGAGGUCAACUGUGA